rnacentral:lncRNA from 1 species
UAACUUAGUUUAAAUAUAAUAAUUUUUUGUAAAACAAAUUGAAAAAUAUAGACUGAAAAAGACAUCUUCAGAUAAAUAGACUUUAUUGUAGGUCUACGAAACCCUAAACCACAAAUCUCAAACCCUAAAUGUUUUGCUUGAUAAUCAAAAAGUCUCAUUUAUACAAAAUAAAAACUACUAAACAUUAAUAUGCAGAUUUAAGUUAAUAAAACAAAAAAAAAACAAAAUCUAAAAUCUA